rnacentral:lncRNA from 1 species
UGCUAUCUAUGAUGUCUUCACUUAUGGAUAUAUUUAUUAACAAGUACUUAUUAGCUAUUUAACAUUUCCUCUACUGAGUGUUAUUAAUUACAGAUGCUGUAUUAGUUUCCUAAGGCUGCUGUAACAAAUUACCACAAACGUGGUGACUUAAAACAACAGAAAUUUAUUCUCUCACGGUUCUGGAGGCCAGAAGUUCAAAAUACAGCUGGGACCAAAGGCAUCUCUAAGGAAGGAUACAGUCCUUGCCUCUUCCAGGGUUCUGUGCCUCCUGUUGGAAUGAGCUCACUAACCAGUGGAAACAAACUGUUUAUCCUUCUAUGAUGUUGCAACUGCCUGGGCUUUCUAAUGCGUCUUCAGAUUUCGGUUUGUACUCAGAACAAGUGAGAAAAGUUUUACAGCAACUCCACGAAACAAAGCAGACAGGCUCUCCUGAAGCCAAGGAGUUAUGAAAAAGGCAGGCAUCGCGCAUUGAAUCAAGUAUGCCAUUACCCUCACUCCCAUGAACCUGUCUUUCAGCACAAUCCAUGACAGCAAGAAGACAAAGGCUUUGUUACAACAGAACAGAGCGGAGACAUCCGUGGCCGUCAGCUUCUUUAAAGCCAGUAAAUAAAGGAAAGAAAAGAGAAGUUAAUAUCCAGGUACUGAUGGUGACACCUCUUGUCUUAUCUGACUCAUCGCAGCCAUUUUCA